rnacentral:rRNA from 1 species
AUUGAACGCUGGCGGCCGGCCUAACACAUGCAAGUCGAACGAGUGGCGGACGGGUGAGUAAUGUCUGGGAAACUGCCCGAUGGAGGGGGAUAACUACUGGAAACGGUAGCUAAUACCGCAUACCAUCGGAUGUUCCCAGUUGGGAUUAGCUAGUAGGUGGGGUAACGGCGAACCUAGGCGACGAUCCCUAGCUGGUCUGAGAGGAUGACCAGCCACACUGGAACUGUGACACGGUCGAGACUCCUACGGGAGGCAGCAGUGGGGAAUAUUGGACAAUGGGCGCAAGACUGAUGCAGCCAGGCCGCGUGUAUGAAGAAGGCCUGCGGGUUGUAAAGUACUUGCAGCGAGGAGGCGUUACCCGCAGAAGAAGCACCGGCUAACUCCGUGCCAGCAGCCGCGGUAAUAC